GGUUAAGCGACUAAGCGUACACGGUGGAUGCCCUGGCAGUCAGAGGCGAUGAAGGACGUGCUAAUCUGCGAUAAGCGUCGGUGAGGUGAUAUGAAUCGUUAUAACCGGCGAUUUCCGAAUGGGGAAACCCAGUGUGUUUCGACACACUAUCAUUAACUGAAUCCAUAGGUUAAUGAGGCGAACCGGGGGAACUGAAACAUCUAAGUACCCCGAGGAAAAGAAAUCAACCGAGAUUCCCCCAGUAGCGGCGAGCGAACGGGGAGGAGCCCAGAGCCUGAAUCAGUGUGUGUGUUAGUGGAAGCGUCUGGAAAGGCGCGCGAUACAGGGUGACAGCCCCGUACACAAAAAUGCACAUAUUGUGAGCUCGAUGAGUAGGGCGGGACACGUGGUAUCCUGUCUGAAUAUGGGGGGACCAUCCUCCAAGGCUAAAUACUCCUGACUGACCGAUAGUGAACCAGUACCGUGAGGGAAAGGCGAAAAGAACCCCGGCGAGGGGAGUGAAAAAGAACCUGAAACCGUGUACGUACAAGCAGUGGGAGCCUCUUAAUGGGGUGACUGCGUACCUUUUGUAUAAUGGGUCAGCGACUUAUAUUCUGUAGCAAGGUUAACCGAAUAGGGGAGCCGAAGGGAAACCGAGUCUUAACUGGGCGUUAAGUUGCAGGGUAUAGACCCGAAACCCGGUGAUCUAGCCAUGGGCAGGUUGAAGGUUGGGUAACACUAACUGGAGGACCGAACCGACUAAUGUUGAAAAAUUAGCGGAUGACUUGUGGCUGGGGGUGAAAGGCCAAUCAAACCGGGAGAUAGCUGGUUCUCCCCGAAAGCUAUUUAGGUAGCGCCUCGUGAAUUCAUCUCCGGGGGUAGAGCACUGUUUCGGCAAGGGGGUCAUCCCGACUUACCAACCCGAUGCAAACUGCGAAUACCGGAGAAUGUUAUCACGGGAGACACACGGCGGGUGCUAACGUCCGUCGUGAAGAGGGAAACAACCCAGACCGCCAGCUAAGGUCCCAAAGUCAUGGUUAAGUGGGAAACGAUGUGGGAAGGCCCAGACAGCCAGGAUGUUGGCUUAGAAGCAGCCAUCAUUUAAAGAAAGCGUAAUAGCUCACUGGUCGAGUCGGCCUGCGCGGAAGAUGUAACGGGGCUAAACCAUGCACCGAAGCUGCGGCAGCGACACUAUGUGUUGUUGGGUAGGGGAGCGUUCUGUAAGCCUGUGAAGGUGUACUGUGAGGUAUGCUGGAGGUAUCAGAAGUGCGAAUGCUGACAUAAGUAACGAUAAAGCGGGUGAAAAGCCCGCUCGCCGGAAGACCAAGGGUUCCUGUCCAACGUUAAUCGGGGCAGGGUGAGUCGACCCCUAAGGCGAGGCCGAAAGGCGUAGUCGAUGGGAAACAGGUUAAUAUUCCUGUACUUGGUGUUACUGCGAAGGGGGGACGGAGAAGGCUAUGUUGGCCGGGCGACGGUUGUCCCGGUUUAAGCGUGUAGGCUGGUUUUCCAGGCAAAUCCGGAAAAUCAAGGCUGAGGCGUGAUGACGAGGCACUACGGUGCUGAAGCGACAAAUGCCCUGCUUCCAGGAAAAGCCUCUAAGCAUCAGGUAACAUCAAAUCGUACCCCAAACCGACACAGGUGGUCAGGUAGAGAAUACCAAGGCGCUUGAGAGAACUCGGGUGAAGGAACUAGGCAAAAUGGUGCCGUAACUUCGGGAGAAGGCACGCUGAUAUGUAGGUGAAGCGACUUGCUCGUGGAGCUGAAAUCAGUCGAAGAUACCAGCUGGCUGCAACUGUUUAUUAAAAACACAGCACUGUGCAAACACGAAAGUGGACGUAUACGGUGUGACGCCUGCCCGGUGCCGGAAGGUUAAUUGAUGGGGUUAGCGGUAACGCGAAGCUCUUGAUCGAAGCCCCGGUAAACGGCGGCCGUAACUAUAACGGUCCUAAGGUAGCGAAAUUCCUUGUCGGGUAAGUUCCGACCUGCACGAAUGGCGUAAUGAUGGCCAGGCUGUCUCCACCCGAGACUCAGUGAAAUUGAACUCGCUGUGAAGAUGCAGUGUACCCGCGGCAAGACGGAAAGACCCCGUGAACCUUUACUAUAGCUUGACACUGAACAUUGAGCCUUGAUGUGUAGGAUAGGUGGGAGGCUUUGAAGUGUGGACGCCAGUCUGCAUGGAGCCGACCUUGAAAUACCACCCUUUAAUGUUUGAUGUUCUAACGUGGGCCCCUUACCGGGGUUGCGGACAGUGUCUGGUGGGUAGUUUGACUGGGGCGGUCUCCUCCUAAAGAGUAACGGAGGAGCACGAAGGUUGGCUAAUCCUGGUCGGACAUCAGGAGGUUAGUGCAAUGGCAUAAGCCAGCUUGACUGCGAGCGUGACGGCGCGAGCAGGUGCGAAAGCAGGUCAUAGUGAUCCGGUGGUUCUGAAUGGAAGGGCCAUCGCUCAACGGAUAAAAGGUACUCCGGGGAUAACAGGCUGAUACCGCCCAAGAGUUCAUAUCGACGGCGGUGUUUGGCACCUCGAUGUCGGCUCAUCACAUCCUGGGGCUGAAGUAGGUCCCAAGGGUAUGGCUGUUCGCCAUUUAAAGUGGUACGCGAGCUGGGUUUAGAACGUCGUGAGACAGUUCGGUCCCUAUCUGCCGUGGGCGCUGGAGAACUGAGGGGGGCUGCUCCUAGUACGAGAGGACCGGAGUGGACGCAUCACUGGUGUUCGGGUUGUCAUGCCAAUGGCACUGCCCGGUAGCUAAAUGCGGAAGAGAUAAGUGCUGAAAGCAUCUAAGCACGAAACUUGCCCCGAGAUGAGUUCUCCCUGACUCCUUGAGAGUCCUGAAGGAACGUUGAAGACGACGACGUUGAUAGGCCGGGUGUGUAAGCGCAGCGAUGCGUUGAGCUAACCGGUACUAAUGAACCGUGAGGCUUAACCUU
rnacentral:rRNA from 1 species